rnacentral:precursor_RNA from 10 species
CAUGGCAACGAAUUGUUUUAUUAGAAAGGGCAAUUGUGCUAAAGGUGAUUGUUUGUAGAUUCGCAAUUACAAUCCCCCUUACACAAUUUCUUUUGCUAAUAAACGGUCAACUAAAGUUCGG